UCGGGGGUGGCCCCGGCCGACGGGAGGCCCUAGCACAGGUGCUGCAUGGCCGUCGUCAGCUCGUGCCGUGAGGUGUUGGGUUAAGUCCCGCAACGAGCGCAACCCCGCCGUUAGUUGCCAGCGGUUCGGCCGGGCACUCUAACGGGACUGCCCGCGAAAGCGGGAGGAAGAGGGGGCGACGUCUGGUCAGCAUGGCCCUUACGGCCUGGGCGACACACGUGCUACAAUGCCCACUACAAAGCGAGGCCACCCGGCAACGGGGAGCUAAUCGCAAAAAGGUGGGCCCAGUUCGGAUUGGGGUCUGCAACCCGACCCCAUGAAGCCGGAAUCGCUAGUAAUCGCGGAUCAGCCAUGCCGCGGUGAAUACGUUCCCGGGCCUU
rnacentral:rRNA from 1 species